rnacentral:rRNA from 1 species
GCGCGAAAACUUUAUAAUGCUGGCAACAGCGAUAAGGGAACCUCGAGUGCCAGGUUACAAAUCUGGCUGUCGAGAUGCCUAAAAAGCAUUUCAUAGCAAGGGCCGGGCAAGACCGGUGCCAGCCGCCGCGGUAACACCGGCGGCUCGAGUGGUAACCGUUAUUAUUGGGUCUAAAGGGUCUGUAGCCGGCCGGAUAAGUCUCUUGGGAAAUCUGGCAGCUCAACUGUCAGGCUUUCAGGAGAUACUGUCUGGCUCGAGGCCGGGAGAGGUGAGAGGUACUUCAGGGGGAGGGGUGAAAUCUUGUAAACCUUGAAGGACCACCAGUGGCGAAGGCGUCUCACCAGAACGGACCUGACGGCAAGGGACGAAAGCUAGGGGCACGAACCG